AUACAGAGGGUGCAAGCGUUAUUCGGAAUUACUGGGCGUAAAGCGCGCGUAGGCGGAUGAUUAAGUCAGUUGUGAAAGCCCUGGGCUCAACCUAGGAACUGCAUCUGAUACUGGUCGUCUAGAGUUUAGGAGAGGGAAGUGGAAUUCCAGGUGUAGCAGUGAAAUGCGUAGAUAUCUGGAGGAACAUCAGUGGCGAAGGCGACUUCCUGGCUUAAAACUGACGCUGAGGUGCGAAAGCGUGGGUAGCGAACGGGAUUAGAAACCCUAGUAGUCC
rnacentral:rRNA from 1 species